UCAUUUCUCCUCCCUUGGUGCAUGGUCGCGUCGGGAGCGGGGGAGGGUGAGCCCGGCGCGGGCCGGAGGCGGCGGGAGCGGAGACCCAGAGCGGAGGAGCCGCCACUGCCCGGCGGAGGUAUUGCCAGGAGUCUGAAGUGGUUGACCAAGACCUAAGGACUUGGAACUUGUGGUGUGUGAUGUCAAAGAGUGGGCAGUCCUUGUGUCCUCCCCCACCAGCUUGCAGCAUCAUGUGCCAGUAUGAAUAUUAAGAAAGAGAAGUGUACUUCAGAGCUCAGCAUCCCAGAAAGAAAGAAGGAGGAACUAAACAGAGAGAACAAAUGACUGCACUGCUUGCAAAACUGGGGGCUGUUCACUUUUUCUCCUGAGAAAUUUCAACUUGGGCUUUGUGAGAGAACUGAACGAGCAGACAGAAGAGCCACAGUGAUUUUAUUAAG